UGCAAUGAUGGUGUAAUUUGCGUCUUACACUGUGCACAGUGACGGGUUGCCGCCUGUCAAUAAACUGGCACAGAUGAAUGAUGAAUAUUUAGUCUGAGCA
ensembl:snoRNA SNORD16 Small nucleolar RNA SNORD16